rnacentral:rRNA from 1 species
GAGUUUGAUCAUGGCUCAGAACGAACGCUGGCGGCAGGCCUAAUACAUGCAAGUCGAGCGCGCCCUUCGGGGUGAGCGGCGGACGGGUGAGUAACGCGUGGGAAUAUGCCCUUCUCUAAGGAAUAGCCUCUGGAAACGGAGAGUAAUACCUUAUACGCCCUUUGGGGGAAAGAUUUAUCGGAGAAGGAUUAGCCCGCGUUAGAUUAGGUAGUUGGUGGGGUAAUGGCCUACCAAGCCUACGAUCUAUAGCUGGUUUGAGAGGAUGAUCAGCCACAUUGGGACUGAGACACGGCCCAAACUCCUACGGGAGGCAGCAGUGGGGAAUCUUGCACAAUGGAGGAAACUCUGAUGCAGCGAUGCCGCGUGAGUGAAGAAGGCCUUUGGGUUGUAAAGCUCUUUCGUCGGGGAAGAAAAUGACUGUACCCGAGUAAGAAGGUCCGGCUAACUUCGUGCCAGCAGCCGCGGUAAUACGAAGGGACCUAGCGUAGUUCGGAAUUACUGGGCUUAAAGAGUUCGUAGGUGGUUGAAAAAGUUAGUGGUGAAAUCCCAGAGCUUAACUCUGGAACUGCCAUUAAAACUUUUCAGCUAGAGUAUGAUAGAGGAAAGCAGAAUUUCUAGUGUAGAGGUGAAAUUCGUAGAUAUUAGAAAGAAUACCAAUUGCGAAGGCAGCUUUCUGGAUCAUUACUGACACUGAGGAACGAAAGCAUGGGUAGCGAAGAGGAUUAGAUACCCUCGUAGUCCAUGCCGUAAACGAUGUGUGUUAGACGUUGGAAAUUUAUUUUCAGUGUCGCAGGGAAACCGAUAAACACACCGCCUGGGGAGUACGACCGCAAGGUUAAAACUCAAAUGAAUUGACGGGGACCCGCACAAGUAGUGGAGCAUGUGGUUUAAUUCGAAGAUACGCGCAGAACCUUACCAACACUUGACAUGUUCGUCGCGACUCUAAGAGAUUAGAGUUUUCGGUUCGGCCGGACGAAACACAGGUGCUGCAUGGCUGUCGUCAGCUCGUGUCGUGAGAUGUUCGGUUAAGUCCGGCAACGAGCGCAACCCACAUCUUUAGUUGCCAGCAGGUUAAGCUGGGCACUCUAGAGAAACUGCCCGUGAUAAGCGGGAGGAAGGUGUGGAUGACGUCAAGUCCUCAUGGCCCUUACGGGUUGGGCUACACACGUGCUACAAUGGCAGUGACAAUGGGUUAAUCCCCAAAAGCUGUCUCAGUUCGGAUUGGGGUCUGCAACUCGACCCCAUGAAGUCGGAAUCGCUAGUAAUCGCGUAACAGCAUGACGCGGUGAAUACGUUCCCGGGCCUUGUACACACCGCCCGUCACACCAUGGGAGUUGGUUCUACCCGACGACGCUGCGCUAACCCUUCGGGGGGGCAGGCGGCCACGGUAGGAUCAAAGAGUGGGGUGAAGUCGUAACAAGGUAACC